rnacentral:rRNA from 1 species
AUUGAACGCUGGCGGCAUGCCUUACACAUGCAAGUCGAACGGGGGUGGCAAUACCCUAGUGGCGAACGGGUGAGUAAAGCAUCGGAACGUACCCAGUCGUGGGGGAUAACGUAGCGAAAGUUACGCUAAUACCGCAUACGAUCUGAGGAUGGAAGCAGGGGACUCGCAAGAGCCUUGCGCGAUUGGAGCGGCCGAUGUCGGAUUAGCUAGUUGGUGAGGUAAAAGCUCACCAAGGCGACGAUCCGUAGCUGGUCUGAGAGGAUGAUCAGCCACACUGGGACUGAGACACGGCCCAGACUCCUACGGGAGGCAGCAGUGGGGAAUUUUGGACAAUGGGGGAAACCCUGAUCCAGCCAUGCCGCGUGAGUGAAGAAGGCCUUCGGGUUGUAAAGCUCUUUCAGACGGAAAGAAAUGGACUUGGCUAAUACCCGAGAUCGAUGACGGUACCGUAAGAAGAAGCACCGGCUAACUACGUGCCAGCAGCCGCCGUAA